rnacentral:sRNA from 1 species
GCGGGCAGGUGGAGACCAGGCGGGGACUGUUGCCCGGCGACGCUCCGGCGCUGGGUCCCCGAGGCCCGGCCCCUCCCCGGGAGGAGGUGGGCUUCGAGUCACGUGACCCGUGCGCUACCGGAGGGGGUGCGGUCGGGGACCCGGCAAGAGGCGGCCGAGAAGAGAGGACCGUGGGGGCGUUCGCGUGGCUCCCAGGCCGGGACUCCACCCCCGCUGGACAGUGGGGGGAAACUGAGGCCUGAGUGGGGUCGGCCCGAAAUCGGCGGAGUUGGGAUUCGAACUCAUUUCACAGGCAGAGGGAGGAGCGCAGCCAUAGCCACCCCCACUGGGUCCGACUCCAGCUCUCGGGCUCGCAGGAGUAAACGCGCAUGCUCAGGGAGCUCGGUCGCGCAUGCUCAGCGCAACCGCGGGGGAAGACUCCAGCCGCCAGGGGGAGCGCGUGCCGUUCUUGCCUCUCUGGCCUGCGCCUCCUGAGCCGAGUAGAUAUCCCAGAGUUCCGCGCGGCGCCAGCCCUUCCGCCGUGGCCGCCUCUGGAGAGCAGCAG